GGCAAAUUGUCUUAAUAAUUGUCAGGCAUUUAUACUAAAGACUAACGGUUACCGUAAAUGACAAAAAUAAGGCGCAUACACAUUUCCGUUUGCACGUUCAAUUCAGUAGAGAUGAAUAAUGAAGUUCGCUCAGAUGCGCGUCCCCUGGCUGUAUAACAGAGUGGCCUCUACUGUGACGUCGACAGAGAACGAUAAGUUACGGCAACGGCACAGAGUGAACCCAGGAGCUUCUUCAACAAAUCAGGGCCUUAAUGGAUGACUGACCCGGGAAACUGCAGGAACAUCGCAGACGCGGUGAAAGGCACGGACAGGAAAUCCAAUAAACUGAGUGGACUGAGGAGGUAUGGCCCUAAAAUCACUUUGCUAACCACAGAGGAGUCGCCACGAGAUGUAAACACCUGAUAAACCUCAAAAACACAAGGACGACAGAGCACAGUUUACUAGACUCUGUCAACAUGAUGGAUGGGGGAAAAAAGGAAAACCUGAUGACCCCAAGAGUCCAGUCCAUCUGUCAAACACGCUAGUUCUGUUCAGGCCAGACCUUAGAUGGCUUCAAAUGGAACCAGCAGAUUAGUCUAUUAUGAUGUUUGUCGUCAAUGAAAAACGUCCACAAAAUAUAAAAUAUGUUUUGUUUUUUGUUUUUUAUGUGCAUUUGUCCAAUAUUUCAAAACACACCAAGCACUGUCUGUUAAAAGGUUUUUUCUCCCACACUUAAUUCAUAAUAAUUAAAUAAAGGCUGACGUGUGAUUAUUGUACUUCAUUAAUAUGUAUUUUAAAUAAAAUAAAUGUAAUGUGUGGCUUUGGCUUUAACUUUGCCACAGCUCAUAUGGUUUAGUGAAGACUCUCACACCUUCAGUCCACUGAAGUAACAAGAACAGCACGACACGCUCAUGUGACAGAAGUGGCGAAAAUGGAUAUGAAACAAAAUGGAAAUGCAAAUGUGUUUACAACCAGCAGAACAGAUUGGAUUGUGAAUAUUUUUACAAUAAGCAGCAGAUCCUCCAUCAGCAGCUUGCUCAUUCAGUGCUGCAUCACCUACUUCCAUUAAUUGUCUCUAUACUGUAUACUGUCAUAGUGUUCACACACUGGACGACCAGUGUAGCUAAAUGCUGUGACGUUCGCGGGCUAAAACGUCCCUCUGGAGGCUGUAAAAAUCAGAGCCCUGCAGACGUUCAGUCAGACUUCACUCAGUGGCGGUCUUUUCACAGUCGCUUGCCUUUGUCCUCUUAUUCCGUUUCCCAUUUUCCCUGCAGGCGAGUCCAUUAAGCUGUUGUUAAUAGCACUUUGCACUGACACAGCUGGAGCUGCCUGUUCCGGCGUAGCUCCUCAGAACAAUAGUCAGAUGCUUAAUGGCUCACCUUUUACUCACAAUUCAGGGUCAUUGUGACAAACGAAUUUCAGAAUAGGUCCGAAAAAGGUUAUUUCCACUUAGUUGUUCAAAUUAUAAUUCUGUUUCUAUACAAACAGUUAAUAAUGUUUGCCCUUCUAAUUAAUUUCGUAGCCACAUGUAUAACAGUUCAACAGGUGUCUAAUUGACCUUUAAGUAUUGUCCAAGGGGCAGAGACGGUCUUUAGCACUCAAGCUCCGCCGCCCUGUCAUGUCGGUCUAACCUUGGAACCAUCGACACUGGAUCGAUAAAGACAAUCUGCAGCAGCUUCCAUUGAUAUGCAGACGACAUCGUUCAAUUUCCAUCAAACUAGAUGAUUUUUAAAUAUCAUCACUGACCUCACUGAUCUCAUCCGUGCUAAAAAAAAUAAACACUGUCCGUUUUAUCAACUGUUGUCUAGUGGAAUUGCUUGGAAAACUGUAAAAAGAUCCUCCGAUACCGUAGAUCCUAUUUUAAGGGUGAGUAAAGACUGCUGCUGUUUUGUGGUGAUUGUUUCCUCUGCGAAUGUAGAAAUUACUACAACACUACACAGAAAAAUAAAGUAGAGAGACAUUCAUGAUUAAUGGGGGCUUGCGGUUAAUGUAUAAUUAAUGUUGUUCUAAUAUGUGUAUAGUACAGAACUUUGUGUUUUGUUUUCCUGACCUGUUUAUUCUUUUAGAGCUCUUUUGUAAUUUCUUCUCUGUCCCAACUCACAGAGAUGGUCUUUUAUUUGCUUAUUAUCAUUCAGAGACGCAAGGUUCUCUGUGUCUGUGUUUUUACACCUAUAUUUACAGCACACGCAUGAUUAAAAGUUCUUUUCAGAGACUGGUCAUUUCCAUGGUGAUUGGGUCCUUUGGGGGAUUUAACAGCGUGCUCGCCUCCCAAGGUGCUACAUGACACUUUGUGAACACUUUACUGUCAUUUUGUACCUGUCUCCAGUGAUCAGACAGUAAAACCAGUUGCCUAUGAGUCAGAGAUGAAUAUGGAGGAGGCGUGAAGGAAAACCAGCAGGCUCCGCUAAUGUUCCCAGCUGGGACUCUGCACUUCUCAGGCUUGAAGAAAGUCUUCCUGACUGUGAUAAGUGAAACAGGGAAUAAAGUAUGAUGAACUACUCAUUUGAAUUUUUUCCCCUAAUACUUCACAGGUGUGAUAUAAGUGAAUGUGUAGACUCCAUGUGCUACUAAUUAUUUUUUGCUGAGUAUGUUCUCGAGCUAUUAUAUCUCGAGCUCAGGACUGAA